AUCUUUCCGGCGAUCUCCUUCUAUGCUCCUUCCCUCCACUCUGUUUCCUCCCAUCCGGAAAACCUCUCAGUCUUCCAACAGAAGAGAAAUGUGCAGCUUUGAGAAGGAGAGUGGGAAAAAUGGCAGUGGCUAUGAUGAUGACACUGGAAAACGAGAGGAGCUGAGGUCAAAGGGAAAAAGGUGUAAGGCUUCCUUGCUGUAUCCCACUGAAGGGGAUAAGAAGAAGGAAUCACUGUGUCUCCCUCUGAUCCCCCCGAUACGCAGGGCAGUAAGUCCCGAUGUUGGCAGUGCUGCAGGGUCUCUGCAAAGCUCUCUGCAGCUGGAUGUGCAAGAGUCCCAGGAGAUGAGGUAAGCCAA